GAUGAACGCUGGCGGCGUGCCUAAUACAUGCAAGUCGAGCGAACAGACGAGGAGCUUGCUCCUCUGACGUUAGCGGCGGACGGGUGAGUAACACGUGGAUAACCUACCUAUAAGACUGGGAUAACUUCGGGAAACCGGAGCUAAUACCGGAUAAUAUAUUGAACCGCAUGGUUCAAUAGUGAAAGACGGUUUUGCUGUCACUUAUAGAUGGAUCCGCGCCGCAUUAGCUAGUUGGUAAGGUAACGGCUUACCAAGGCGACGAUGCGUAGCCGACCUGAGAGCGUGAUCGGCCACACUGGAACUGAGACACGGUCCAGACUCCGACGGGAGGCAGCAGUAGGGAAUCUUCCGCAAUGGGCGAAAGCCUGACGGAGCAACGCCGCGUGAAUGAUGAAGGUCUUCGGAUCGGAAAACUCUGUUAUUAGGGAAGAACAAAUGUGUAAGUAACUAUGCACGUCUUGACGGUACCUAAUCAGAAAGCCACGGCUAACUACGUG
rnacentral:rRNA from 1 species